ACUUAUCUUAUCCGUUUCCCUUGACUCCUCCGAUUCAUCCCAAACCCUUCCCCUCCUAUCAGCCAUGGCCAACUUCUGUCAGGACUCCGGUAGAGGCCGCCCCAUGGACUGGACGGUCUAGUGAAGGAGGAAUCUGACGAGGAGGCGCUCGCGCUCCGCAUCGCCAUCCAGCGGUCGCGCGUCGACACCGGCGGGGCUCCAUCGCGCCCACAACAAGCUCCUCCUCAUCCCUCCGGCAGAAUGCUAGCCGCGCCCACCCUUCUAGCUCCGCGGAAUGCCAACCACACCUGCCCGUCCCGUGCUCGCCCUUCUAUCUUCGCGCUGCUCUAGAUCCGAAACAGGUUCUCCCCUUCCCCUCUGGCGCUAGCACCGCCCAGCCAACGGUGGGUGCUCGUGCCCGCAACUCUCAGGUGUUCAUUUUAGGUUCAAUUUGGACUAUCUCGGCCCUUUUGGAUGAACUAAUUGCAUGUCUGAUGUCCGAAUUGCUCAAGUUUUAUGCUAUUUAUAUGGUCUACGUAGACUGCAUGGUUUUGUAUGAAAUAGGGUAUCUGAAUUUGAUGUUUGUGAUUGUGGAUAGGGAAAAUUGGCUACUAUUCGGGUACUGCCAGCGGACACGCCUGCAGGUGUAUAUAGCACCAAAUUAGGCCUUGGAGGACAAGCUCGCUGUGUGAAUCCAUGAUGUCCUCUAGAUUGCCAAAUUGAACAAUAUGGUCUAGAGUGUGGUUCUCGACUUGGCGAUGUGGUUGGUCGAGUCGGCGACAAAAGUCAUGGCGCCAAAGACGAAGAGCUGACCUAACACGUAGAUCGUGUCAUCAUCUGAUCUGUGAGUUCACCACGUGGGGCUUGUAUGGGUCACUGAUGUCCUACAAGUGCACAACGUUUAGUUGUAGCUUUUUCAAAGUAAGAGUAUCAAUCCCACACGGAGCA